GUCAGAACAGCUCUUCAGGGAUGGGGCUCACCCAGGAAAAGCUCUUAGCUGUAUUUAUUUUUCACUUUUAGGGUUUGUUUUGGAGGUUCUUGUGUGUAGUGGGUUGUUUUUCUUUUUUAUUUUUUGUACAUGUGUUUUAUUUCCUUUAAUUAGAGCAUUUCAGAUUCGGGUCACUUUAAUUUUAUUUUUUAUUCUGUUCUUUUGAAUGGGCUUAGUGGCGUUGCUUAUUUUGAAACCAGAACAAUAGCUCACUCUUCUCCUUCCUUGGAGGCUGUGUCUGACAGUGCAACUUGGAAGCAGCAGUAGAGAAAGAGGCAAAGAUCUGAUUUGGGGCAGAGUGUUUCUGUUGUCCUGUGAGAAGGAUGAGAGAUUUUGCUGGAAAAAAUCCUCAGCCAAACUGAAGAGUCACAGAAGAGGGAUGUAACAGUUUCAGCUUUAAUUCUGAAAAUUUGGCCUGGAAGCUUCAAGGGAGAUAAAGAAAAGAGCCCCCAACUUCAAAGAAGUGGUAGAAGAUGAAAGGAAACUAGAGAAUGCCUUUAGGGAUUAACAAGGAGUCUUGAGGAAAAAGGCCCUGAAUAUCCAGUCAGUCACAACCAAACCAUAGAGGAAAAUCUCUGUGAAAAAAGCAGAAUUAUGUGUGGAAGGAUGAUUGCAAUUAUUAAGGCAAAAAACUGAAUUUCUGAUGGUGGUGAGAGAGAGAGAGAGAAUACAUAGGAUGAAAAAUUGGGGUUUGCCAUCAUCCUA